UUCCAUUCCUCCUUUUCCCUUGCUCUGCACGUAUAAACCAGGAAGGAAUUCCUUCCUUCCCUCAAUUCUGUCCAAGUUCACCCUUGGACCCCAGCAAACUUUUCAAUACUGAUAUACAAAUUGCAUUUCCAUUUCAGGAAAUUCAACAUCAAAAAUCAAAACCAAAAACCAAUUUCAUUCCUUCUCCUCAUCUCUGAUUCAAGCUAUCACCCACCACAACUGUGACCACCGUCGUCCACCACCAUCCAGCAACCACCUCAACCACCUUGACCACCGUCACCCCCCAGCACCACCGCACACCCACCGUACCUCCCCCUGCUCUCUCCUCCUUCGCGACCCACCUCCCCUGCCUCUCCCUUUUCUCUUCGCUGCACCACACCCGCGGCCACCAACUCAGCACCCAAAACCACUCUCGCUGCCACCCUCAACCACCGACCUCCUCUCAAAUCCACCACCGUCACCCUUGCACCCUUGCCUCCUCUAUCUCUCUCUCACUCAACUCGAUCCCCUGCCCCCGCCUUCUCCCUACCUUCACUAUCCUCGUGCGCCGCCGUCGGUGCCGCCGUGCCUGUAGCUUUCCCUUUGGUACUUCUGCGUCGCACCACCGAUCGUAGACCAUCUUCCGACCAAGAAACACCCCCCUUCCCCUGUUUUGUUCGCCCUGCUCGUGCCCCUACUCCCUCCCUCACUCGACGUUCUGCCGCCGCAAAACCUCCACCCUCACCGCCGCCCUUCGGCGUGCGCAGCCGCGGCGUUGAGCCACCCAGCGCAGUCUCCCUUUCUCCCUCCUCUCUUGCCUCCUCUUCGUGCUUCCCUUUCCCCUGUUUUGGCCCUUCCCCUGUUCCGUGUUCUUGUUGCCAGGAAACUGAAAAUCAGGUUUCAAAUGAAACCUUGAUUUUAUUUCCCUCAAACCCAAUUCAAGGUUGGGCCAUUAUAAUUUGGGCCUUUGAAAUUGGACUCGGAGCUCAGGACGAACGAACCAACGAAAAUCCUUAGCCAAAACUGCGGAAGUGAGGUACUGCGGGGAACGAUGGAAACGAGUAGUUGCGAGGAAUUUCACUUUAAUAAUAUUCACCUAGCUAGUUUAUGCUUAAAGUUAUAAUAGUUUAAUUAAGAACUUUUAGUAAGUUAUGUACUUUUAUUUUGGUAGUAUAAAUGAUUAUUAUAUAAAUUUUGGGAUUUAAUAGCUUAUGAUUGAUGGUUGCCUUGUAAUUCCCAAGAGGGAGUUACGGCAGGUAAUGUCCCGACCAAAUUAGGUUAAUUCCGCUGCUAAUUAUGCUUUAAAAAUUGAAUUAGAGGUCGGGGCGUUACAGUAAUCCAUUGAUCCAGGCAUUGAAAUCAUUCCUAACUUGCGAUUGCUGUUGCAAAUGCCGUAAUCCAGAUUCGGGGGUCAUAAUUUGUUCAUCAAGAAUCGCAUCAAAAUCUGGGUUUGUGUGUUCAUCCGAGUGUUCUGAAAUCGCCUCUCCAUCCUCAAUACUUGUAUAAAUCGCUUGUGCUUCCUUC